CCAGUGUGCUAGGAUUCUAGAACAAGCCCAGCUCCAACUGUCACUCUAAGUGUGGCCUGGUCUGGCCUCCCUGAGCCUGUUUCCUCGUCUGGAAAGGUUCUCAGGUGUGUCCUCGGCCGAGACGUGGAUGGAGAGGGCGGGGUGUCCUGGGAGCCUGGGUGAGUGGCUCCUGCCUGGCCCAGGCCCUGGAGAGUCUGGCCCCCAGGCUGGAACGGAGGCCACGCCAAAGCCUGCACUUCCUAAGGAGCCCCUCAGGACAUUCCCUGGAACAGAACUCUUUCUUCAUCCACUCAGGAUGUGGACCCCAAGGUGCCACCUCUGAUCAACAGGGAAGGGGGUGACAGGACACUUUGCUCCCUCAUUUACAUGAAGCUUCUGAUGUCUGUUCAGGAAGGAUCCACUAAGAAUCCAGAAUCCAUCAGGUCCCCAGACACUUCUCCUCAGCCACCUGGGACAUGUGUCCUUGCCAGCUGGGCACUCAGGUGGGACUCCUGUGACUGACUGGCUGUGACUGCUCGAGGGGCCCAGUGGCGAGUUCCAGAAUACACCCGGAUCUGUCUCUGGUCCAGCCAUUUGGACCCAAGGCUGAGCAGCCUGUUUGUCCACCUGGCCCGUGGGAAUCCCUGCUGUGCCCAUCCCUGGGGCGGGCGGGCUGCCCCCCUUGGAGGCAUGGUGAAGGCAGCAGAAGCGGCGGGGGCCUGGCUUAGGCUGAGGGCUAAACCCACCCCAACCACUUAGGAAGAAGCUAAGUCCAGCAGGUGGGACCUGCACAGAAGCCAGAGAUGUGUUGAUUGUGUGCCAGCCCAGCCAGCACCACCAUGUCCCAUGACCAGGGCCCCCUGCCCACAAACUUCAGCCCACCUGCCUGUGGACCAAAGAGAUCCCUCCUCUUGCUAAUCUGGACAAGACAGACUGGAAUUUUCAGAGGAAGUUUAAGUGAGAAACUAUCAAAGCCACACCCUGCCCCGUCCCCCUUCCCACCUCACCCUUCUCUCUUUCCAGACUCCAGCCUCCACUCUACUUUGGUCAUCAGUUGUCUGCUCAAGGAUUUGUCUUUUGUAUACAGCUCCUUAAAGUUUUCAGACUCUCCCUGAGGGGAGGGAAAGAAGGAAGGAUAAAUUUAGGAAUAAUGUC